rnacentral:rRNA from 1 species
UACGGGGGGGCAAGCGUUGUUCGGAAUUACUGGGCGUAAAGGGCUCGUAGGUGGCCAACUAAGUCAGACGUGAAAUCCCUCGGCUUAACCGGGGAACUGCGUCUGAUACUGGAUGGCUUGAGUUCGGGAGAGGGAUGCGGAAUUCCAGGUGUAGCGGUGAAAUGCGUAGAUAUCUGGAGGAACACCGGUGGCGAAGGCGGCAUCCUGGACCGACACUGACGCUGAGGAGCGAAAGCCAGGGGAGCAAAGCGGG